rnacentral:lncRNA from 1 species
UGAUUUCAGACAGUUGGCGACUUGAUGUUCAGCACUACCACAAAACAAACAUUUCCCCGAUUUCCUCCAGCAGUCAUUUUCAGAGUGGUUGGAUUUACCACAGUAUCCGCAAGUAACUUGAGGAGUCAUAGCUGAACCAGUAGAAGGCGCUCCUCUAGCCUGAGUCGGUCCACUGCGACCUCCUCUAAAUAAAACUCCCCUGGAAGCUCCAGUGGUCCUUAUUCCUCCCAUUCCUCUUCCCAUCUUGAAAGGUUGUGCACUUUUACUAGCCUGCCCAGACGCAAAGCUAGAAAAAUUCCUCUUUCUAUUGUGAAAGUCCCUCACUUGCAGUCUUGCACUUUCAACUCUUUGUGACUUCUCUAAAGCCUCAGUAAAAGUAGAAAUUUGGGUUGCGGCCAAGCCCUCCUGAAUUUCCACAUUAAACCCCUGUACAAACCGUCUAAUCCUCUUCCGUUCAUUGACUACUAGUUCAGGAGUGUACUUAGAAAGUUUAGUAAAUUUCCCUUCAUACUCCGCUACACUCAGAGUCCCCUGUUUCAACUUAAUAAACUCAUCCUCCCUUUUUUCUUGAAUCAAGGGUGGAAAAAAAUUUUCAGUAAAUUCUCUCGUAAAAUUCUCCAAAGUCCAAGGAGUUUGAAUUCUUUUCCAUUUUCCUUUUAUCAAAUUCCACCAAGCACGAGCUACUCCUUCAAAUUGGAAAGUAACAAAAUUCACUCGCCUAUCCUCAGUAUAGUCUAGGGUGGCGAAUAUGUUGGUUAUCCUCUCUAAUCAAUUCUCUGCUAUUUCAGGAUCAGGUUCUUCAAGAAAUUUAGGCGGAUUGAACUUUAAGAACCUCUCUAAGGCUCUAUCC